rnacentral:rRNA from 1 species
UACAGAGGUCCCGAGCGUUGUUCGGAUUCAUUGGGCGUAAAGGGUGCGUAGGCGGCGCGGUAAGUCGGGUGUGAAAUCUCGGGGCUUAACUUCGAAACUGCAUUCGAUACUGCCGUGCUUGAGGACUGGAGAGGAGACUGGAAUUUACGGUGUAGCGGUGAAAUGCGUAGAUAUCGUAAGGAAGACCAGUGGCGAAGGCGGGUCUCUGGACAGUUCCUGACGCUGAGGCACGAAGGCCAGGGGAGCAAACGGG